GUGCUCAUUUCAGUAGUUCAUAUACUAAAAUUAGAAUGAAAAAGAGAAGAUUAUCAUGAUCCUUACACUAGAAUGAUCCUCAAAUUUGUGAAGCAUUCCAUAUUUUU
ensembl:snRNA U6 U6 spliceosomal RNA